AACAGAAAAAACUUUGCACAUCUAUGAUGUGAGACAGGUGCAUCAGAGGGGGACGAGAAGGUCAGAAGUUGCAAAGAAACUCCUGCACACUAGCUGCCUUAACUAUGAAUU